rnacentral:lncRNA from 1 species
AGAAAUCCACAUAAAAAAAAAAGAAGACAUUCAUAUGAUCAUGUAGAAAAAAAUCUGGAAUUAAUUGGAUCAUUAUACUAUUUUUGGUGAUUUUUUGAAGUUGGAUAGAAUAAUGAAAUAAAAUGUGAGAUAAUGGAAAUAAUGAAAAUGAAUUAUGAAAUGUGGAAAUGGCAUCAGCUGGAAUCGAAGGGAGGUCCAAAGCGCGUCCAAAACGACGUCGUUUUGGCUAUAAGGAAA